AGUAUGAGCUGACCUUCCCACGUCAACACACAGCCCAAGUAAUGCGUUUGCUGUGGCUCCUGGUGGCGAUGGCGGUGACCGUCCUGGCUAAAAUCCCCUACCCUCCUCCGUUCUACCCCGGCUACCCACCAUCCAGUGGAAACCCUAAACCAUUUCACCCCCCACGACCAAAACCCGUAGCACAACCACCACGCAUCUACGUGCCAUGGGGAUGAAUACAGAGACGAGAGCCACCUCACGCCUCACCUGGACACAACACCUGCCUGCUACUGGAGACUCAUUAGCCUGGACUACUUACUGUUACCUGCUGUAAUCGAUACCUGCUCAUCUCUUAACGCUGCUUUUGUCUUCGUGUUGGAGUUCUUUACAAAGACACAGUGCUUUCACUAACCCUGAAUGUACCCCUGCAUAAACUUAUAAAAGAAAAA